rnacentral:lncRNA from 1 species
AAAUGUUUUCGCAAUAAUUUUCAGAAAAAAUCCUACUCAUUGGCAACCAAAGGGCAAAGUGGGAGUAUAUUAAGAGACUUUAUAAAGUGGAUGGUUUUGGUGGCAGAGCAAGAAGCACCAAACUUACUGAGAAGCACAUAAAUCCAACUUCAUAUGACAAAAUGAAGGUCAAAUUUGCAGCCCAAGUUUUUAGCCGGCAAGUGGCUACAUCACUAGGAAUCCAGAUGAAGUCUCUGCUAUCUCUCCAGGAUCAUGAUUACAUAAGUUUAAAUAAAGACAUUGGAAAUGGUUUGUUCACAGCAGAAAUUCUUCUUUUUAUAAAUAAUUUGUUUGAUAGUUUAAAUGGUUUUGGUCAUUAUGGGAAUAAGUUAAAACAUGCUCUUUCAUAUAAUUCGGAGUACAUUGCAUUCUGGAAUGAUGCUGUGAAAAAGCUAGCUUCAAUGCGCUUUGACGCUUCCAAUGAAAGGGAAAGGAAGCCUUUAUCACUGAAGCAUUUUGAACAUAAUAUAAAAACAAUAAAACAUUUGUGGUCAGAUCUGCUGAGAAUUGAUGGUGUUAAAUUUUCAAGUCUUAGACGUCUUAAUCAAGAUCCGAUAGAAAACUUUUUUGGUCAAAUAAAGGCACAUGGUAAUUUUACUACAAAUCCUAAUUGUACUCACUUUGUAUCGGCUUUUAAAACCUUGUUGAUUAACAACAUUACUACCGGUAAAUCUUUAUACACUAAUUGUUCUGAUGAUGAUGACAAAAUGUUGGGAACAUUAAACAUUUAGUCAGCCACCAAAAAUAUGGUUCAUACACUGAUAGUCUUCAAUGUAAUGAAACUAACUUUAUAGAAAUUUCUAUACCUAACGAGAAUAUAUUCCAACAUAUGUCUGUACCAUAUAUUGCUGGUGCAGUUUGUCGUUUUUUGAUGUCCAAUUUGACCUGCACAGAUUGUGAUAAUUGUACAAAAGCACUAUUAUCUCAGAGAGAGUCUAAUGUAGAUAGGUUAUCUUAUCCUUCUAAUAAUUUUAGUCAAAUGGUCUGGCAGAGUAUUUACAUUAUUGACAAGAUGAUGCCUUUCUUUGCAGUGUUUAUAUUUAUUCUGAAUUUAAUUUAAUAAAAUAUAUUGACACUACUUGGUACAACUGUAAUAUUCACAAAACAGCUGUUAUUAAAGCUUUUUGGUCCUGCAUAGUUAGAAUGCAAGUUAAGCAGUGGUGUAUUAAUUUUAAUAAUAGAAUGAAUAAUAUUGAUUCAAGGCCUAAAGAUAUAGAAAUGGAAACUCUAAUCCGUGAGAAAGUCACAAAAGGAUUGAGUUAUAGAUCACAAAGAAGGCGUAGUUCCUAAUCUCACUUAAUUAAAGUUCUUCAUAGUAUUUUGUCCACAAUUAUUACGAUUUUUGCAAAUGAAAUUGAUGUUUUUUAAAGUGUAUUACCCACAUUUUUGUGGUUUUAAAUUAGCUAUUAUGCUUUCUGUUUAUUGUAUAAAAUCAUAGUAGUUUAUAAUAAUCUUCAUUAUGGUGACUGUUAAGCAAAUAGUUGUUAAAAUCUUAUAUACAUAAUUAUGCUUGUACAACCUAAAAUGAGCCUACCAGAUAAUUGUCAAGUAAAUUACAUUUCUACAAAAAGUAGUAUUAUGUGUAUGUUUCCCAAAUUGUUCAUAUUUGUAUUGAUUUACAUUGUGCAGAAUUAGUAAUUUUACCUUUAAUUUAAUAUUAUAUUUUCAUUAUAAUGUAUCCAACAUUUUUUGUAUUUUGUAGCAUUUUUAGUAGCAAAUGUGCCAUUAUAUGAUAUUGCAAAAUGUUAAAUUAUGCAUGGAAUGCUUUUCGUGAGAGAAUAAUCAUAUUCAAAUAAAUUCUUAGUUUUGUGUUUUUAGAUUAGUUAUUAUACCUAAUGCAUAGUGUAUAAUGGUGAAUAGCUUAAGUAUGUCUCCUUAUAUUGUGUAAAAUUAUAGUGCUAGUCUUCACAAUUAUCUUCAUUUUGCUAACCGUUAAGCAAGCCGUUGUUAAAAUCUCAUAUGCAUAAUUAUGCUUGAACACGGUAAAAUAAAAAUGUUUAUGUUUCCAAAAUAGUUCAUAUUUCUAUUCAUUUACUAUGUACAAAAAUAUUAUUUUUACCUUUUUAUUUAAAAUCAUGUUUUCAAUAUAAAAUAUCUAACAUUUUUGUCCUUUGUAGUAAUUUUUCUUACAAAUGUGCCACUAGUCAGUCAUUGUAUUGUCAUUAUUUUUAAUUUUAUGUAAAUUGUUAUUGUUAAAUUUAUAUGCAAUCCAAUUUUGUGUCUUGUAUGUUAUUGUUGAUUUUAUAUGACAAAAUAUUAAUAAGUGAAUGACAACCAAAAAAUCAUGUUGCAUUUGCCUUUAUAAUAUUGAAUUGUAAUGAUGAAAAUUAAAAUUAUGUUGGUAAAUGUAAGCAGCUGAACGGUGUGCACUAUUUAUGUAUUUGCUUUAUGCCAGUCCAUGUUUUAAUCCGUGCACCACCUUAUAUAAGCUAUGUGACUACUUUGUAUACAACAUCUAUAAAAAAAAUGUGGUAAUUGAUGACAAAAAAAUAAGCCCGGAGUUCCUUUCUGCCUUUCUUCUUCGGGUAGUCAUCUCUUAGGUAGCUAGUGAAAGGCUGGUGGGUUAGCUAGGUAGGGGCCUAUAUUAUAUUCUUCGACGGCGAAGAUCGUGAUGCAUUCCUUUUAUUUUAUUAAGAUUAUAUCAUAUACCUUUUGGCCCGAGCUGACUUCUUUCGUUUUUUUAUCCUUUAUAUAUCAAUUAUUUUUUAAAUUUUAGCUUCUGUAGUGACUUAGUUGUUUGUUCAUUAAUUUAUUUGAUUUGUUUUAAACGUAUCAUAAGUACAGCAAUAACUUUGUUUACCUAUAUUUUAUUUUAUUGAACAGAAAAUGCGACUGCAAUUUUAAGUAAAAAAAAUAUUUUCGCUGGCUAUCGGUAGAUUCUGAAAUUAUGGUAAAUUGGGCGUGAAAAGUAAUGAAAACAUUACUAAUAAAUCUUUAUAUUUAGAUAAGAAAA